rnacentral:rRNA from 1 species
AUUAACGCUAGCGGCAGGCAUAAUACAUGCAAGUUGAACGGCAGCACAGGUAGCAAUACUGGGUGGCGAGUGGCGCACGGGUGCGUAACACGUAUGCAACCUACCCUAUACAGGCGAAUAACCUUUAGAAAUGAGGGCUAAUACGCCGUAGUAUUACAGAUGGGCAUCUAUUUGUAAUUAAAGAUUUAUCGGUAUAGGAUGGGCAUGCGCCCCAUUAGUUAGUUGGUAAGGUAACGGCUUACCAAGACGAUGAUGGGUAGGGG